ensembl:lncRNA
CGUUCUGCAUCCCUUGGGCUGCACGGCCUUCCCUCCACCUGCAGCGAGCGCCUCCAGACGACCGCCACGGACCUCACGGCGAGCACCUCCAGACGACCGCCACGGACCUCCAGACGAGCCCCUCCAGACGACCGCCACGGACCUCCAGACGAGCCCCUCCAGACGACCGCCACGGACCUCCAGACGAGCCCCUCCAGACGACCGCCUCCAUCACCUCCACUGAAACAAGACUAAAUCUAUUUAAACACUGGAGAUUUUUUUUCUCCUCGCUCACUCAGAUGUCAAUAGCUUAUCUUCUCCCAUUCUGUGCGUUCUUGAGAAGUAUCAUUUCCUAUAAACUCCCAAACCCAGCCACACAUCUAAUCUUCAUAAGGACACUAGUCCUAGUGGCUGAGAACGCUUGGCUAACAAGCCAAGCACAACCAAUGACUGAAUUCCAUUUUAUUCUGAACCGUUUGACCACGCCAAGGAGGAGUUUAUAGGAUGUGCAGUUCCACGGCUCACCCGUCUGUUCCUGUAGGACUGGACGGCUCCUGGCCACCAUCCACCUGCAGCUCCCAGCUCCAGACCCGCUCUGUUGAAGCCUCUGGGAGUACAAUCCGCUCCUGAACAAAAACAAACCACUGUUCAUAAAUCAUUUUGUACUCUGCAAUCCUUGGAAAUAUAAUGAAGCAUGAGCUCGAAUAGAAAAUGUUCAAAUCCUGUAUAAUGAUUGUUGUACAAAUGUGUAUAGUUCUAGAUAACUUUUUUACUUCUAUAAAACAUUUAAUGAAUAGUGGGAAACUACAUAAGAAAAGUAAAUGAAUGCGGUUUUAACGCGGUUAUAUUAUCAAUAAAUGGUGACCACAUUAUUAUUAUUAUUAUUAUUAACUAUUUAGUGCUUCACUAAAUUCCUAUAGCAAGUGGAAACGUUACUCUCCUUCAUUGGUGAUGUUCAUGUUCCUCGAUAUCUUCCAAUGGACUCGUUGUGAAAUUCUUCUGGAUCCUCUGCGUUGAAGUCAUGGUUGAAGUGCGUUGUUCAAUUUCCAAGGGGCGUGUCUAAAGGGCGCGAUAUAAAAUGGGUCGAUGCUAUGCUAUUGGGUAGGCCGCGACUAAUCAUAGUAUUGGAACGGGUGAUGCAGAAAUACAUAUAUUCCUCAAAAUCUUUGAGUAGUAGUCGUUCGUUCUUUUAGUGAGCAUAUACAGUAUUUAGUUCACUAACUUCCAUCUUUGUUGUUGAAACACCUCUACAUGUUGCGUAUAUCCAACCUCACAUUAGAUAGCCUAAAGGGUUGCUAUUGGUCGGUUUAUUUCGUACCGGGCAGAAAACGUUAUAUAACGGAGGGGCGCCUGACCGCAUCUUUGAAGAGCAAAUUAUAUAUGAGGUCCGUCUAGUUCCGAAGUUAUUGGUUUAAUACGCAAAACUAAUAUUGAAAUGUUAAUUUUGGCAUUUAAUUUGCAUCUACAUUUUGCCAGUGAUGGAGUUUAGGUUUGCCAAUCCGAGGUCUAACAGGCAGUAAACAUGUUCAUUAAAAUACAAAUGCAAAGUCCACAGAACAUACGCGAAUAAAAACCACAUUGCACCACUAGCGGUCAACAGCAGCAGCAACAAGUGUAUUGAAAGUAGAAAAGUAGUAAAGAGAAGAAUAGAAUUGGGAGAGUGGUGUGCAAGUCAGACACCGCAUCUAACCCAGGACCACCUUGCAGAUCACAAGCAGCAAACCUUCUACCAGACCAACCAAACACACAUCAACAGGCCCCCAGUCAGUAGGGUCAGUCAGACAGGUUUCCACAGAAGGGCUCAGUGGGGUUAUGGGUUGAGGAAAAACAGAACCCUUUCUUCCUUCCACAAGUUUCCAUCCUGGAUUUUUCGGACAUGUGGAGUCGGACAUGUUUCAAGUUAUCCGUGGAUUCCUGAGGGCAGUGAAGUAUCUGCAGAAGGUGACGUCCAGCGGUCUGCGGCAUUGACCACGAGAUUUAACCGAGUGGGACCGCCUCUGUAUGUAGUCGGCCUAGCUACAACAGUUUGUGUUCAACAGCGUGGAGGUCCUGUAGUUUCCAUCAGAGUUGCUGCAGUUCUUCCAUGCUGCUUCGACAGUGAGCAGAGGACACUUCCCAGUGUGGUGGUCGGUGCUGUAGCGGUCCGCAGCGUUAGUUAGUCAGUCGAUCCCAUAGAUAAACCACUCAACACAAACUACCACUUCCAUCAGCAAAUCCACAUUAACCUCCAGCGGUAAAACAUGUACAAUAGAGGGGCGAGAACAGACGACAUGAGGAGAUGGGGAGAGUGUAACAUGUGCAGUGCUCAUGAAGGAAGUACCCCGCGUUACUCACUGCGUGGGUCCCGGUGGCGGGGGUCCACGUCGGUGGCCACGAUGUCCGGAUUGUUCAGCACACGCAAUCCAACGCAAAAUAAACGAUUAACAUCCGUCACGGUGGGGGCGCUUUUGGGGAGAGGCGGGGGAGACGCAGCUGAAAUCAAUUAAGAACUAGCGACCAGAAGAACGUGAUUGGUUGUGAGCGAGAAGCUCGAGACGAGAGGCCUGCGUAUUGGUUAGAGCAGUGGUUUUCAAACUGUGGGGCGCGCCCCCCCUGUGGGGGCGCGACGUGAGAAAAAAAUAAACCCG